rnacentral:rRNA from 1 species
AGAACGAACGCUGGCGGCAUGCCUAACACAUGCAAGUCGAACGAGAUCUUCGGAUCUAGUGGCGCACGGGUGCGUAACGCGUGGGAAUCUGCCCUUGGGUACGGAAUAACAGUGAGAAAUUACUGCUAAUACCGUAUGAUGACGUAAGUCCAAAGAUUUAUCGCCCAGGGAUGAGCCCGCGUAGGAUUAGCUUGUUGGUGAGGUAAAGGCUCACCAAGGCGACGAUCCUUAGCUGGUCUGAGAGGAUGAUCAGCCACACUGGGACUGAGACACGGCCCAGACUCCUACGGGAGGCAGCAGUGGGGAAUAUUGGACAAUGGGCGAAAGCCUGAUCCAGCAAUGCCGCGUGAGUGAUGAAGGCCUUAGGGUUGUAAAGCUCUUUUUACCCGGGAAGAUAAUGACUGUACCGGGAGAAUAAGCCCCGGCUAACUCCGCGCCAGCAGCCGC